GUUGCGGUUAAAAAGCUCGUAGUUGGAUUUCUGUCGAGGGCGGGCGGUCCGCACUAUGUGCGUGUAUCUUGUUCGGUCUUGGCAUCCUCUUGGGGAAUGCUUCUGUGCUUGAUUGCAUGGGGUGGAAUUCAAGACUUUUACUUUGAGGAAAUUAGAGUGUUCACGGCAAGCUACCGCUUUGAAUACAUUAGCAUGGAAUAACAAUACAGGACUUUGGUUCUAUUUUGUUGGUUUCUGGAACUAAGGUAAUGAUUAAUAGGGAUAAUUGGGGGCAUUCGUAUUAACACGUCAGAGGUGAAAUUCUUGGAUUGUGUUACGACGAACUACUGCGAAAGCAUUUGCCAAGGAUGUUUUCAUUGAUCAAGAACGAAAGUGCGGGGAUCGAAAGACGAUUAGAUACCGUCGUAAUCUGCACCAUAAACUAUGCCAACUAGAGAUUGGUGGUCGUUCUUUUUAUGACUCCAUCAGC
rnacentral:rRNA from 1 species